GGUCCUUGUUUUCCGCCUCCGGUGCUUGAAAUGUUCGCAACCUGAGUCUGACAUCUUCUCUUUUCUUUUCUCUUCUUUUUAGUUUUUACUCUAAAAGUUGAAGUAGCCCAGGUUUUCCCAAAGCCCACAGCCAUGGAACCCUCAAUGACUAGCCACAACCUGGAACGCAUCUUCAAAAACACAUUUGCCCGCUAAAAUUAUUUCGUUUCGUUUCUCUUUAAAAAAAAAAAAAAAGGGUUUAGCGACGCGGAACCCAAGUGAAGAUGGUAGCCGAAUUUCUCUCCCUCUCUUUAUUCCUUUCUUUCGUCGAAGCGAAAGAGAACUCAAGAUUUCUGGGAUUCCAAUUGGGCAUCGCCGCUCACAACCACCGCACUCCGGGAAAUCAGAGCUCCUUCCUUUUUUAUUUCUUUCUUUCUUUCUCCUUUUUUCUGCUUCAUUGAAUUCUGUACAAUGAUUGUUGGUUUGGAUUUGUGGGUCUCUUCUAGGAGAUGUGUUCCACGUUGUGUAGCCCAUGUGUUUGAUGAUUUUCCACUGCGUUUUUUUUUUUAUUUAGGGCUGCUGGGUUUGGAACUGGGAGGUGAUGGCCAGUUAUUUGUUUCAGGCACAUGGAUUACAAAUAAAGCAAAAGAGAAGUUCUCUAGCAUUAGUGAAGACAUCUCUGUAUGGACUUUGUGUAUUGUUCUGUGGUUUUUUUUUUUAGCUUUGUACCCUUUGCUUUACCUUUUCCCUGUUAUCGUUGUGACAUUGUCCCUGUCUCAUAUCUGGUUUUGGAGCUAAUUUUGGUCAUUAUGUGUAUGCCAAUUUGUUGAUAUUCUGCUAAUCAUGGGAAGGUUGUCAGAAACUAGCUGUAGGAUGUGAGAUCUGUAGGUUUUUCCAAGAAAUGAAAUGAACCGGGAGAUGAGUUUUCCAACGAAAAAGAAAAUUGUUGAAA